AGUGAACGCUGGCGGCGUGCUUAACACAUGCAAGUCGAACGAGAACGGGUAUAGCUUGCUAUAAUUGUCAGCUAAGUGGCGCACGGGUGAGUAAUGUAUAGGUAAUAUGCCUCUUACUAAGGGAUAACAAAUGGAAACGUUUGCUAAUACCUUAUACUCCUUAUUAACAGAAGUUAAUAAGGGAAAGAUUUAUUGGUAAGAGAUUAGCCUGUAUUGUAUCAGUUAGUUGGUGAGGUAAUGGCUUACCAAGACUAUGACACAUAACUGGUUUGAGAGGAUGAUCAGUCACACUGGAACUGAGACACGGUCCAGACUCCUACGGGAGGCAGCAGUGGGGAAUAUUGCACAAUGGACGAAAGUCUGAUGCAGCAACGCCGCGUGGAGGAUGACACGUUUCGGUGCGUAAACUCCUUUUAUAUGAGAAGAUAAUGACGGUAUUAUAUGAAUAAGCACCGGCUAACUCCGUGCCAGCCGCCGCCGUAA
rnacentral:rRNA from 1 species